GGAGGACGGCGUCGUGUGGUUGGGCAGGGAUGCGGUUCGGUUCCCAGACCUGGGUCUGCCUCGGAAUAACCUGACGGGAUUUUCCAGAAACUAAGUCUCUCAGGCUGCACACCACACUGCCCAACAUCAGAAUCCCUCGAGAGUCAGGCAGUUGGAGAGAUUAAAUCCAGACCGCACCAAAUACUGACUACGUGACCUCGGACAAGGUACUUAAUGUUUCUGAGUGUUUACUGCAAAGCAGAGAUCCUAAUGACCUCAUAGAAUUGUCACGAGGAUUCCAUGAGCUAAUGUAAGUGAAUCGCUGCGCACAGUGCUUGGCACAUUGUUUUUGCGGUAAAUAGCAGGUAUUGCUUACUUUUCAUUAGAAAGGCGUGCGCACUGUGGAAUAAGUAAUGACAUAGAGAUCAGCAAGAAUCAGGCAAAAAACAAGGUCAUUCUAGUUCCCCAAAAUAACUACUGAUAAUGUUCUGGUGUACGUCCUUCCAGAUUUUGAUCUCUCUGUGUGCUUUUUUUUUUUUUCUUUUUCUAACACACUACCUACAAUCGGGUUGCCCUGUCAUCUUAUUCCACCCCAAGGAAUCAACUCUGAAUUGGAUCAAGGUGGGAGUUGCAUCAUUAGCGAACGUGGACAUUUAUAAAUGGAGAGCCGUCAAUUCUAAAGGACCUUUUUGCGCGUGCAAGUUUGCAUUUCUGCACCAACCCGGAUUCUGGCACACCGUAGGCGCGCGAUACAUUUUCAGUGAAGAAGAAAAACAAAAACAAAAGGAAGGUGCCGGGCCACAGUUUGCAAGACUUCCAUUUUGUCAUGGCUGUAAGAAAGAGGAGGAAGAAGAGAUAACCAUGAGAACAGAACCCAUAUUAGGAAUUUGGCCCCAGGAAAGAAGUUUCCAGGGAAAGUCGUAGAGUCCACAGAUAUUCUGCACCACCCUCCCUGACCAGAAGGUGUUGUAUGUGGAAGGCGGAUGGGUGAGCCGGUUGGGGGUCUGUACAGCAUUCAUAUUUUGUAGAUUUUAAAAGAGAAAGAAAACAAGACGUGAUUGGAGAAUCCGACAUUAUUUAACACCUGAGAAAAACCGUCACUGUGAACCCUCAAGAUGAGGACAAAGCAGGACCCUACCAAAUACUGUGUCUUUUUUAAAAAGGUGCAGGGGAAAUAAACAAAUGAAUAAAGGUGCAGGGAAACACAGCAACGUAGGAACCGUGGCUGUUUCUGAGUGUUUGGUGUCAGCUUUCGGGGUAUUUUCUGCGGUUUUCAAAUUUUCUACAAUGAACAGUAAGGCUUCCAAUCAUAAAAAUAAAGUGGCAUUUUUACGGACUUGUCGACUGCAUACUGGAGUAUACACCCUGUAAUUUUUCCUACGAGGUAUUGUAAAGUUUGAGAGCGCUUGUAUUUAAAAUAAGGCAGGUCCGUAGACCUAAUGAUAUUCUUCGAGCUCAUUGUGGAGUUAUCUUGAAUAAUUCUGAUUCAUCUCCCGUGGCUUCUACUAUCUUCCGUUUACGUGUGUUCCACACACACUUUAUAUAUAGUUGCAUCAUAGGCCUCUUUUUAGUGU